AAUCAGCUGACGAGUCCCAACUAGGACGAAACACACGUUCUGGGU
rnacentral:hammerhead_ribozyme from 1 species